rnacentral:lncRNA from 1 species
GACCGGUCUGUUUCGUUUGCGAAAGAAAGGAAUCUAGCCCUAUCUGCAGAAGCUUUGGGAAUGUCUUCUUUGCAUAGCAGAAUGCGUGAGUUCCUGAACACUUCAAUCAUACCUCUCUACUGACAAUGGAAGUAGAAUCCAUACCCCAUAGAGCCCUAUGGGGUCACCUUACGAGCAGAUGUGUUCACAACUGCAAAUGAUCAAACAUCUGGGAAAUGUAUGGUUCGCAAUCAUUUCUAAAAACUUCUCUCUCGUGGAUGGAACAUUUAUAAAAGCAAAAAGAGCUGCAAAGACAUCUAUCAGUUUGGAUAUGAAAUAGUCUCAACUGGAUUUUUUGAAAGUGCAUUUUAAGCUGGGAGGGAGGGGUAGAAAACAUGACAGCUGACACGUGUAUAUCAGGAUACGCUGGGAACUGCAUUGAGGAGUGUUUACCUGCUCUUCCACCAUUCUACAAAGAGAAACGUGGAACGUAUUGGCAGUCUCCAAAGAGACUCAUUCAGGACCACAGAUUUGCACAACCUUCUCUGGAAACAAAUGGGGUGACAAUUCUUUUCGAUAUCUUUGCCAGUUUCUCUAUGCUUGGUUUUAAAAGGGUGUGUUUGCCUUGUAAUCGUGGGCACCAGAGGGAAGAAUAUGGGGCUGCUUGGUUUUAAAGCAGGGAUGGGUAAUCUGUGGCACUGCGGAUGUUGGGACUACAUACCCCAUCAUCCUUGACCAUUGCCCAAGUUGGCUAAAGCUGUUGGGACUUGCAGUCUGACAUCAUCUGGAGGGUCAACCCCUAUCCCUGGGUUACUGCUAAAGAGGAGGAAAUGUGUCCCCACCCACAAAGUGAAAUGAGCAUGGUUUGGGGAAAUGGCCUUAAUCACAUCUACUAUCAUGGUCUGUAAUGGUUAAACUUACUGAACCAAACCUAUAUCUGAAAUCUCUAAGGAUGAUCUCUCAGUGGCUUUUACAAGUUUUUUCUCCAUCGGCUUCACUAUGGCUUGCCGUGAACGAACAAGCUUGCUUGUGCCCAAAGAGAAAAUUGUGCCUGCGUUUCUCCUCCUGCAACCAACUGUUGAUGUUCCAUGGUUUCUCUCGCUCC